UACAGAGGAUGCAAGCGUUAUCCGGAAUGAUUGGGCGUAAAGCGUCUGUAGGUGGCUUUUUAAGUCCGCCGUCAAAUCCCAGGGCUCAACUCUGGACAGGCAGUGGAAACUACCAAGCUGGAGUACGGUAGGGGCAGAGGGAAUUUCCGGUGGAGCGGGUGAAAUGCGUAGAGAUCGGAAAGAACACCAACGGCGAAAGCAACUCUGCUGGGCCGACACUGACACUGAGAGACGAAAGCUAGGGGAGCGAAUGGG
rnacentral:rRNA from 1 species